AAAAAAAAAAAAAAAAAAGUUUUCCAAGUGCAGAACUUCAAAAGUUGACCUGAUCUUCUAAAGCUAUUUGAUUAUAUUUUUUACAAUCAAGUCCUAUUAUUUUUAAAUUCAUAUUUAAAAAAAAAAGAUUAAUGGAUAAAACUAACAGUAAGCAAUUCAAAGUAUUAGGGGACCUUGCAAUCCUGGAUUUUGCUAUGGCAUAUAACCUAAUACUAGAAAAUACCUACUUUAUAAAAAGGGUCAUAUUUAGUGACUUUCAAAAG
rnacentral:misc_RNA from 1 species